AGCGCCGCGGGGGGCGGCGGGAGCUGUAGUCCCCGGCGGCGGGGCCCCUCGCGGCGCGCCUGCGCGCAGAACGCCCGGCCCCGGCGGUGCCGAGCCGCGGGGGGCGGCGGGGGCGGCGGGGGCGGCGCCGCGUGAGCGCGGAGCAGCAGUUCAGCCCGCCGCCCUCGGAAGCUGGCGUCAAAAUCAGUCCUUUUCCCAGCAAAGCGUUUCGGCCGGUACAGCCGCCAGCGGGGACAGCGGCCCGGCCGCCAUUGCGCUGCAUAUAGACAGCACAGCGCUGAAUUCCCGUGUGCUCACAGCAUCUGCGUUUGUACCGGGCAGAACGGAAUCCGGGCUUCCCCACGAAGGCCUCCCUCCCUCCCUGCCGCGGCCGGGCAGCCAGCUGCAGAGCUGUGGCACGGGCUCAGAAAUCUGAACACGCUUAUUUAGGUAACCCUCUAUUUCUUAGUGGUUUGCCUGGGAAAAACAGUUCCUUGUCAAAAACAAGCCUGUCACCAAAAUAAUGCUUCGGUGGUACUGCUCACACCACACUUAACACCAUGAUUUCUAAGUAUUUGAUGUAUCUUCUACUUAAGAACAAAGAUAAAACUUUGGACAGACUUUUGUGGCCCUUCCACAACGAAGCAAUGCUGCACCAAACGGCCUGCGCGCACCUGAGCCCAGCAACGCUGGCUCUCGGGUAGCUACGGCCAGUAACGUGCUGCAAACCACCACAUUCGGCUUCUCCUGUUCACAUGCACUAGAGCUGCCAGCCUCAUUUCUAGCUUUCCUAUUUCCCAAGGCUGCGAGCAACGUCAGAGGAUCUCACAGGCGACAUACUGCCCAGGAGCUUCAGAUCGGAGACCCACGUCUACAGAAAGGCUUCACCAGCUGCCUUUAGCUGAACAGCUCAAAUACUCUCUACAAGCUACUUGUCUAUAUAUUUUCAUAUUAACAGUCUUCCAUAAAUGUAAUUUUUGAGGUUGAGUUUUAAAAUGUGUAUCUGUAGUUUGAUAUUGUAAUAUCAAAUUUGUAGUGUAUUCUAGUGUAUAUUACCUUUCAGGAAUGCUAAAGCUUAAAAACUAAAAGAAAUAACAUUACUUUAAGAGUAUCAGCAGAUGAAAGAAAUACAAAGCUAACAUAAAGAAUACUGAACUUCAUCCUAAAUGCACUGACACUACUGGAAAACAAAGGAAAAGAAGCAGUUUCACCCGAAUGAUUCAUUAAGGGAUUGCCAUCCUGCAAGGCCUGAAACGCCAAUGUUCUUUUCAGCUCCCUGUAGGCUUUCCCUCACCCCUGUGCAAGAACGGCCCUUCGGCACCUACUGACGCAGGAACAGCCCCUGCCAGUCCGUCUGGCGGGGCGGCUGGCUCAGCAGCUACCCUGCGCGCGGGCAGGGGUCAGCUGUGGCCUUAGCAGAUGCCAAGGGCAGGACAUGCACCCCUCUGAUUUUUUUCCCUAUGUGCAAGAUUCGCAAGUACCCUCUAGCUGGGACUGCCCCCACCCAAGUAACUUCAGUCAUGAUAAACCUUGAGAAAACAAGGGCUGUUAUGUUCUUAAUCAUGUAUUACUCAGUUUGGUGGUGUUCCUGACCAGCAUAUGUUUGUGUCACAAAUCAUGAAAAAAGAUCCAGUGACAAAUCUGAUGUAAAACUGUACAAGCUGGGUUCAAUAAAAGCUUGUCAUAAAUGCUAAUCAAGCUUCGAGUUAAUUGUAUUAAAAUCUAAAUUCAUAACAUA